CUCCUCCCCCUCCUCAGAGGGAGGGGCUAUCAGAGGAGACUUGUUAUUGAGGAAGAGCUCAGAUAUCAGCUGAGCGUUAACACACACGGACACAUACGGACACACGGACCAGAACAGCAGCUCCUGACACCGCGCAUCUGAAGGAUGGUGUGACUGAUCAUCAGCGCCUGUCGGUACGUGGCGAGGAAGAUCCGGGCUGCGGCGCGAGGAGAGGAGCAGCCGGAGAAGCCGAGCACCGCGGGAUGCAAGCAGGCUAAAUCUCGCAAGGGCGACAGGAUGAGCAGCGAACCCGCCCUGAUGACCCCGCCCACAGAGCAGGACGUCGACGUGCUGCCGAAGGAGAACUGCGGGUCCUGAAAGUAAGCCGAGAGCUGGAGGGCAGGGAGGUCCAAAAAGCAUCCCAAUCAGACGCCGUGCCAAAUCAGACGCUGACUCUGACCUCGACCUCUUCCUGCUUCCGGCUCUCGGCGCUCUUUCGGCUCCUCCUUCCUCACGUCUCGGAGCGUCAGCAGAGAGGAUGAAAGGCUGCUCACCAAUUCCCCGCUCGAGGACCUGAGCAGCCCUGAUGACCGUGGCGGUCUCUGCUGACGGCGCUCUCACGCCAACCGCACUUCUUUCUGUUGUUGCUUUAAUAAAAACCGUUUUAAACCUGA